AUGCUUGAAGUGCUAAGGAUAGAAAAUUGCCCCAAGCUUGCAAGUAUUCUAGUGAUCCCCAUUGUCAGGGAUAUGAGUAUAGUUGGAGUUCACGGUACAACAGUCAAUUUCAUUUUUAUGUGCAUCCGUUUGGGCUCUUGGCCAUUUCUCGUAGCUUUAACUAUGGAGUCUAAGGAAGACAUGGCCAUGUUGCUUCUAGACGCCCAGCAAAUCCAAAGUGAAAGACCUCUUGAAAAACUAGAGUAUUUGGCUCUGCGAGGUCCUAGCAGCUUGGACACAAGGUCUGGAUUGUCUAGAUCACGCCUUAUGCCUUGGAAAUGCUUUCGGUUUGUGGAAACGUUGAUGAUUCGCGGGUGCAACAAUCUUGUUCGUUGGCCAUCAGACGAGCUCGGGUGCUUUGAUCGCCUCUGCGUUUUGCGUAUUGAAGAUUGUGACAUCCAGGAGGGGGACAUUUCAUCGUCUGAGGGGACACUUCCGCUGUCCCUGGAGGAAUUGGAUAUUUCGUUCUGCAAACAUCUGGUCAAGUUGCCUUGGAACCUUGGAAAUCUGGCCAACCGGAUAAGUCUCUAUGUGGGUUCGUGUAGUGCCCUGAAAGCGCUGCCUGAUGGGAUGUGUGGCCUCACUUCUCUUAGGGAAUUGAUGAUAUGA
rnacentral:rRNA from 1 species